rnacentral:rRNA from 1 species
UACGAAGGGGGCUAGCGUUGCUCGGAAUCACUGGGCGUAAAGGGUGCGUAGGCGGGUCUUUAAGUCAGAGGUGAAAUCCUGGAGCUCAACUCCAGAACUGCCUUUGAUACUGAGGAUCUUGAGUACGGGAGGGGUGAGUGGAACUGCGAGUGUAGAGGUGAAAUUCGUAGAUAUUCGCAAGAACACCAGUGGCGAAGGCGGCUCACUGGCCCGUUACUGACGCUGAGGCACGAAAGCGUGGGGAGCAAACAGG